CUGAGCACUUGAAAAAAAGCAGAAUACAUGUGGGCAAGAGCGCUCCUUUGUUCUUCUCCUCUUCUACAAAGCUGGUUUUACAUAUAGUAUAUGCUGGAGUGGUCCUUCAAACUUUUAUGGCCAUGCCCUUCUUCCAUUGCUUCUUUACAUAUGAUCAUAUCUAUAUAAAUAUAUUGAGAGAAUAACAAUUUUCAUUUCUACCAGUUGAAGAAAUCAAGAAAUACCUGAGAGAGAUCUGAUGAGGUGAAUUUUGUAAGUCCUUCCAUGCUUUUCCACAGCUUUCUUGAACUUCUUCGACAUGAAUUUAGAUCCCUCUAUCGGAAUAUAUGGAGGAUUAUUAUGAAGAAGAUGGAAGUUCAAGAAAGCUGUGGGACAACAUGAAAAUUUAGGACUUAGUUCUCUUUGGUGCAUCACUCCACUGCUGCUGAUCAGAAGAACAUUUUUCCUGACUGGUAAUUAUCCCUUGAAUUUCUCAAGAAACCCUUUCUUUAAUUCUCGAAACUCUUCACCGACAGCCAUGAAAAUGAAAUUUUGCAUAAUAAUUCUUGAAAAACUUGACUAUCAGGCAUGUAUAUUUGCAUAAUUCUUGAAGUUCUUGACUGAGCCAUGAAAAAUUUCUUUAAGUUCUGACUGGCAGCAAUGAAAAUCUGCAUAAUUCUUGAAAUUCUUGACUAACAGCCAUGAAAAUUUCCAUAAUUCUUGGAAAAGCCCAUGAUUAUUGUUUUAACCUAAGAUCGAGAUGUUAUACACGCAUAUGAAUUUGAUGAAAUAGUUUUUACAAAUUUGCUGCCGAAUUGCUUGAUUAUGCAAGAAGGAUGUGAUUGUUGAUAUCCUUUUACAGCACACUUUUUUGACUUUUUAAUUGUUUGUACGGUGUUUUAUGCUAAAUUUUACGUUGGAUUUCAAUGUCAAAAGGCAGUGAAAACUGACGGUCAGUUUAUGUUUCAGAGUAGAUUCCCCUUAUCUUUCCACCUUAUCAUCAAUAAAUGAUGUUUGUCUCUCUUUUUUGCCUUUUGUUUUUACCUCUGUACUGUGAUCUCACACAUUAUUUCCAUGAAAAAGGCUAAAAUUUUGUCAUUUUCUGCAACUUUAUUAUUUUUACCUUCUUCCUAUUCUCACGCUGGCAAACCACACGCACGCAUGCAGUGAUACAGACAAAUAUGUACAUACAUGUUUUGAUGUUCAUACACUUCACACAGUAAAUUUACUGAUAUACACAUUGGUACUUGCAGAUUUAAGAGUAUUGUUGGUUGAGUUCAUGUUGGAACUUCAAGUUUUAUUCAUGUAUUUGAAAAAAAUUGUGUUGAUGAGGUAGUGAUUUAUGCCUUCUCAACUGUGUACCUACCCAUUUAUAAGUUUAUUCCAAAGUUUCGAUGGCGUGUUGAAUAUUACUAGACAGUAUAAUUGCUGAUUUUUUAUUUAAUAUAGUCCAGCUACUAUCUAUUUUAACUUUUCAGACCUCUCAACGAGUUCUAUCUACAUAUUGGGUAGUGAAUGAGACCAUACUCGUAUGUACUAAAAAGGAAUCUAAGCUAAAAUCUUAUCUAAUCAUAUCCAGAGCUUUUAAAUUAAGGACCAAAUAAAAUG
rnacentral:lncRNA from 1 species